rnacentral:rRNA from 1 species
UGGGGAAUAUUGCACAAUGGGCGAAAGCCUGAUGCAGCGACGCCGCGUGAGGGAUGACGGCCUUCGGGUUGUAAACCUCUUUCAGCAGGGACGAAGCGCAAGUGACGGUACCUGCAGAAGAAGCACCGGCUAACUACGUGCCAGCAGCCGCGGUAAUACGUAGGGUGCAAGCGUUGUCCGGAAUUACUGGGCGUAAAGAGUUCGUAGGCGGUUUGUCGCGUCGUUUGUGAAAACCAGCAGCUCAACUGCUGGCUUGCAGGCGAUACGGGCAGACUUGAGUACUGCAGGGGAGACUGGAAUUCCUGGUGUAGCGGUGAAAAGCGCAGAUAUCAGGAGGAACACCGGUGGCGAAGGCGGGUCUCUGGGCAGUAACUGACGCUGAGGAACGAAAGCGUGGGUAGCGAACAGG